GAUUGCGCGAAGGCAUAUCAACUGAGAAGCGAUCGUAAUUCUUGCUCCGCUAAGAGUUGUUUAUGGGGAAUCGAGAUGUUUGGGGUUACCGGUACCCGCAAUGCAGCAAUGCAACGGUUUGCGAUAACUUCUUAGCUAGUUGACUAUUACUACAGCUUCGCUUGGUGACCAUAUAUUUGUUGACUGCGGUAUUUACUGUUAUCAGUUGGUAUUUCAAAUUAUUUCUCAAUAAACUCGAAAGGUUUUUGAGGAUAGGUCAAACUACCGGUACUGUUUCGCUCGGUGUUCAAUCAAUCAAUCAAUGUUCACUUUCCAUAUAUUUCAGUAUUUGUAGACUGUGGUUCCCGUGUUAAGCGAAAGUGAUACCGGUACCGGUACGAUAGCUGGGAAAGCUAUGACAGUCCCUGUGGCCUGUACGGCACGUACCGGUACCGUUUACAGGUUUACGUACCGUCUUACCGAUACCGAAGUCCGUUACGGUACGUACCGGUACAGCUGUACAGGUACGAUAUGGGUAGACUAGUACAGUAUUACUGUACUAGUUGCAUUAAUUAUAUUUGUUUAGAGUGUGUGCCUGCAUUGAAAUUAAGUUUUUGUAAUGAGCCAGCAUGUCUGCACAACUGCUAUGUCUUUCUAAUUUUUCGCUGUUUCGUUACAUUUUUUUGGAAACAACAUUUGCAUAAAUACGUAUGGUACCGUAUGCAGAGGAAGAAACUUCACAAAAAUUUCAACAUGUGCAGCAGUUUUGCUGGAAACAACAGAUAGGCUAAGGAAAAAGCAUUACAACUUCUCCAAUAAUUUUCAACGAGAUACACAGUUCUGCUGUAAACAACAUAAAUAUGCCAAGAAAGAAGCAUUAUAACCUUUCCAAUAGUGUUCAACAUGUUCUGAAAUAUGGUGGCCGAGGUCUUUCCAAUACAAAGAAUAUUUGCUGGGUUAACAGUGUGUUACAAAUAUUGGUUCGGCUUCCACUUCAUGUACAACAUGAUUUUCGCUUGUGCUCAAUAACACAAGUAUGUAAUUUCUGCAAGCUGAUAUCUCUAAGACGCAGAAUGCUAUAUUCACCAGCUAAAGCAACAAGACGUAUUUCAGCAUAUGAAUUUUCUCUGUUUGCUCACGAUUUCCAUGCUAGGUCAUUUGAAAUGUUUGAUGCUGCUGAAUUUCUGAGCAUGAUUUUAUCUAAGAUUACAGAUGACCAAAUUAGGUACCAUAAUGAAGUUGCUAAUACCCUCCGUUCUAUGUGCCUUUUCUCAGCAUCCAUUUUUGAACGGUGUUGCUGUGGUGAAUAUUCUCGUAUCCUCAGUGCAAUGACAUUUAACAUUUUCAAUUUCAAUCAGGGAGAAAAUUCCGAGGACAUUUUAAAUCAUCAAGAAGAAAUAUGUCACAAAUGCAAUUCUC